AUUGAACGCUGGCGGCAUGCCUUACACAUGCAAGUCGAACGGUAACAGGUCUUCGGAUGCUGACGAGUGGCGAACGGGUGAGUAAUACAUCGGAACGUGCCUAGUAGUGGGGGAUAACUACUCGAAAGAGUGGCUAAUACCGCAUGAGAUCUACGGAUGAAAGCAGGGGAUCGCAAGACCUUGUGCUACUAGAGCGGCCGAUGGCAGAUUAGGUAGUUGGUGGGAUAGAAGCUUACCAAGCCGACGAUCUGUAGCUGGUCUGAGAGGACGAUCGGACACACUGGGACUGAGACACGGCCCAGACUCCUGCGGGAGGCAGCAGUGGGGAAUUUUGGACAAUGGGCGCAAGCCUGAUCCAGCAAUGCCGCGUGCAGGAUGAAGGCGUUCGGGUUGUAAACUGCUUUUGUACGGAACGAAAAGCCCUGGGUUAAUACCCUGGGGUCAUGACGGUACCGUAAGAAUAAGCACCGGCUAACUACGUGCCAGCCGCCGCAGUAAGAC
rnacentral:rRNA from 1 species